rnacentral:rRNA from 1 species
UACGGGGGGGGCAAGCGUUGUUCGGAAUUACUGGGCGUAAAGGGCUCGUAGGCGGCUAACUAAGUCAGACGUGAAAUCCCUCGGCUUAACCGGGGAACUGCGUCUGAUACUGGAUGGCUUGAGUUUGGGAGAGGGAUGCGGAAUUCCAGGUGUAGCGGUGAAAUGCGUAGAUAUCUGGAGGAACACCAGUGGCGAAAGCGCGUGACUGGGCCACAACUGACGCUGAGGAACGAAAGCCAGGGUAGCGAAAGGG